rnacentral:rRNA from 1 species
GACGAACGCUGGCGGCGUGCUUAACACAUGCAAGUCGAACGGUAAGGCCCUUCGGGGUACACGAGUGGCGAACGGGUGAGUAACACGUGGGUGAUCUGCCCUGCACUUCGGGAUAAGCCUGGGAAACUGGGUCUAAUACCGGAUAGGACCACUGCCUGCAUGGGUGGUGGUGGAAAGCUUUUGCGGUGUGGGAGGGGCCCGCGGCCUAUCAGCUUGUUGGUGGGGUGAUGGCCUACCAAGGCGACGACGGGUAGCCGGCCUGAGAGGGUGACCGGCCACAAGGGGACUGAGAUACGGCACAGACUCCUACGGGAGGCAGCAGUGGGGUAUAUUGCACAAUGGGCGCAAGCCUGAUGCAGCGACGCCGCGUGAGGGAUGACGGCCUUCGGGUUGUAAACCUCUUUCAGCACCGACGAAGCGCAAGUGACGGUAGGUGCAGAAGAAGGACCGGCCAACUACGAGCCAGCCGCCGCCGUAA